UACAGAGGUCUCAAGCGUUGUUCGGAUUCAUUGGGCGUAAAGGGCGCGUAGGCGGCCUUCUAAGUCAGACGUGAAAUCCCUCGGCUCAACCGAGGAACUGCGUCUGAUACUGGAAGGCUUGAAUCCGGGAGAGGGAUGUGGAAUUCCAGGUGUAGCGGUGAAAUGCGUAGAUAUCUGGAGGAACACCGGUGGCGAAAGCGGCUCUCUGGGACGGUACUGACGCUGAGACGCGAAAGCGUGGGGAGCGAACAGG
rnacentral:rRNA from 1 species